rnacentral:lncRNA from 1 species
GCCAUUUUUUACCAUUUCAAUGUCUCUUGCACAACUUCACAUGGCGGUUCAUAUUAUGGUAUAGUUCCAUCAACAUGGGUCAGACCAAUUACGAGAAAUAGCGUGGCCGGACAAAAUGUGUGGAAGAAUAAAAAUAAUAAGAAAAAAAAGAAACGAACAAUAACAAUAUGUCACCCCAACUCCGUUGAGGGUGCCAUAAUAAGAA